GCGUGAGCGAUGAAGGCCUUAGGGUUGUAAAGCUCUUUCACCGGUGAAGAUAAUGACGGUAACCGGAGAAGAAGCCCCGGCUAACUCCGUGCCAGCAGCCGCGGUAAUACGGAGGGGGCUAGCGUUGUUCGGAAUUACUGGGCGUAAAGCGCACGUAGGCGGAUUGUUAAGUCGGGGGUGAAAUCCCGGGGCUCAACCCCGGAACUGCCUCCGAUACUGGCAGUCUUGAGAUCGAGAGAGGUGAGUGGAAUUCCGAGUGUAGAGGUGAAAUUCGU
rnacentral:rRNA from 1 species